AUGCAGUCGAACGAGCUCUCCCAAAUUGAUUUUAUGCUUGCAUAAAUGAUUUUUGGACCCCUUAAAGAGUGGCGAACUGGUGAGUAACACGUGGGUAACCUGCCCCGAAGCGGGGGAUAACAUUUGGAAACAAGUGCUAAUACCGCAUAAUUAGUUGGAACCGCAUGGUUCCAACUUGAAAGAUGGCUCUGCUAUCACUUUGGGAUGGACCCGCGCCGUAUUAGUUAGUUGGUGAGAUAAAAGCCCACCAAGACGAUGAUACGUAGCCGACCUGAGAGGGUAAUCGGCCACAUUGGGACUGAGACACGGCCCANACUCCUACGGGAGGCAGCAGUAGGGAAUCUUCCACAAUGGACGAAAGUCUGAUGGAGCAACGCCGCGUGAGUGAUGAAGGUUUUCGGAUCGUAAAACUCUGUUGUUAAAGAAGAACAAGUGUUAGAGUAACUGUUAACACUUUGACGGUAUUUAACCAGAAAGCCACGGCUAACUACGUGCCAGCAGCCGCGGUAAUACGUAGGUGGCAAGCGUUGUCCGGAUUUAUUGGGCGUAAAGCGAGCGCAGGCGGUUUUGUAAGUCUGCUGUGAAAGCCCUCAGCUCAACUGAGGAAGUGCAGUGGAAACUACAAAACUUGANUACAGAAGAGGAAAGUGGAACUCCAUGUGUAGCGGUGAAAUGCGUAGAUAUAUGGAAGAACACCAGUGGCGAAGGCGGCUUUCUGGUCUGUUACUGACGCUGAGGCUCGAAAGCAUGGGUAGCGAACAGGAUUAGAUACCCCUGGUA
rnacentral:rRNA from 2 species